UACGUAGGGUGCGAGCGUUAAUCGGAAUUACUGGGCGUAAAGCGUGCGCAGGCGGUUUUGUAAGCCAGAUGUGAAAUCCCCGGGCUUAACCUGGGAAUGGCAUUUGGGACUGCAAGGCUUGAGUUUGGCAGAGGAGACUGGAAUUCCUGGUGUAGCAGUGAAAUGCGUAGAUAUCAGGAGGAAUACCGAUGGCGAAGGCAGGUCUCUGGGCUAGAACUGACGCUCAUGCACGAAAGCGUGGGGAGCAAACGGG
rnacentral:rRNA from 1 species